GGCCGCGGAACCGGAACCGGAACCGGUCGCGGAACCGGUUUCGGAACCGGUUAGGGUUCCAAAAGGAACCCCCCCGCUCGGCGCUCCAAGCCUCCAGCCUCCUGUCCUCUGUAUCUUCCUCAGUCCUCCGAUUUCAGCUGGACGCCGCUCGCCCUCAAGGCCACCGCCGCCGGACGCCGCUCGCCCUCAAGGCCACCGCCGUCGGACGCCACUGGUCUGGACUGGACGCCAGUCCCCGACGUCGCUCGACGCCCGCAUUCGCGACACUUGAGUCGUCGUUGCCCUGAAGACCCUGACUGACGUCCCUGCUCACUCCUCAGCGCCGGCCACCGUCGCCGAACGCCGCUGGACGCCAGUCCCCGACGUCGCUCGAGCCUCGACGCCCGCAUUCGCGAAUCGCCAGAAGCUGACCGACCUUGACCGACGUCCCUGCUCGUGACCGGCCGUUGCCCCGAAGACCCUGACCGACGUCCCUGCUCGUGACCCACGCCGCUCGCGCCAGAAGCCCCGACGCCCCUGCUGCUGCAACGAACCAGAAGCCACUGCUUCGCCAUUCCCGUUCGGCACCAGGUACUUGCAGAAAUUUGAGGGUCUGCCUCUGCCAGGCUGGUUUUGCGCUUCCUUUUCCGCAUGUAAUGGAACUUGCUGAAUGACCCCUUUUGGGCUUUCCUUAUUCGAAGCUGAAACUUUUUUUGCUUUGUGGGUUCUUUGGGAAAAGUAAAGUUGGUUUGGUUGGUGGAGUGUUGACGCUUCCCAGUUGAGAUUAGUGUUGUUUUCGCUUAUUGGACUUUGAAACCCGUGUCUUGCAUUCUGUUGUCGUUGUCUUGUUUUUCUGUAUCCUUUGUUGCGAUUUGGAUCUGAAUUUCUUCCGAUUGUAGUUUUUAAAACACAUGCUGGGACAACUGUAUGGCCACAAAUAAGGGCAUAUUUGAAUAAAUAUUUUGCAUUUGUAUUGAUAAUA